AAACCAGGUGAUGAAUUUGGAUUCAAAAUCUCACGACGGUCGUCUGAGACGCUACCGCGUCGAUUUUGAUGCAGAUGUUCCAAAAUUUCUGAUGGUU
rnacentral:snoRNA from 1 species